rnacentral:rRNA from 1 species
AGAGUUUGAUCAUGGCUCAGAACGAACGUUAGCGGCGCGCUUAACACAUGCAAGUCGAGCGAGAAAGGGCUUCGGCCCCGGUACAGCGGCGCACGGGUGAGUAACACGUAGGUAAUCUACCUCCAGGUGGUGGAUAACCUUCCGAAAGGAGGGCUAAUACAGCAUAAGACCACGACCCCGAAAGGGGAUGAGGUCAAAGCCGGCCUCUUCACGAAAGCUGGCGCCAGGAGAUGAGUCUGCGGCCCAUCAGCUAGUUGGUAGGGUAAUGGCCUACCAAGGCGACGAUCGGUAUCCGGCCUGAGAGGGCGGACGGACACACUGGGACUGAGACACGGCCCAGACUCCUACGGGAGGCAGCAGUGGGGAAUUGUUCACAAUGGGCGCAAGCCUGAUGACGCAACGCCGCGUGGAGGAUGAAGGUCUUCGGAUUGUAAACUCCUGUUGCCAGGGACGAAAAGCUCCGACCCAAUACGUCGGAGUCUGACGGUACCUGGUGAGGAAGCCCCGGCUAACUCUGUGCCAGCCGCCGCGGUAUUC